rnacentral:lncRNA from 1 species
CUCAGCUGGUUCCCAGGAGAGCUAGCGUGGGAAGCGGCCUGGAAACGGGUUUCCCCAGGUGUCAGCGCCAGAGCUGGUUUCCCAUGACCUCACCUGGUGGGUGGAGCCCCUCCCCUCCACCCCUCCUUUCUAGAGCACCAUGCUCAGCACUGGAGCUCAAGAACAGAUGCUUACCUGUAUCAGUGUCUUCACUGCUCCCUUGGCACACUGAGGACACUGGGCGUUCUGCGACUGACUCAGCCUGCAUCUUCCCAGCUAAAUGAAGAGAGAGAGAGAGCCACGUUUAAGUUCCUUUUGCUCCCACAAGGUCUGGGGCUCAGGCAAUGUUUGCUGCUGACCCUGAAAUGCUUAGGAAUAAAAAGCCAGCCAGUGAGCCCUGGAGAGGCUGGGAGGAUUAAGUUUAGCUCCAGAUUUGGAGCUUGAAGACUGAGGCCUAAUGUCAACAGCUUGCUGGAAAGGACCUCUAAGGCUCUGGCCCCAAGCCUGUGCAGGACAAGAGGGAUUCGCUUCUGCUUCCGAAUCCACUGGUUCUCUUUGGUUCUGUCUCUUUCUCUAGAAUAUGGUACCUACUUUUCUGGGGUAGUUUUUUUGUUUUUAUCUCUCUGUCUGUUUCCUUGGCCUCUUUUCCCUUUUC